rnacentral:rRNA from 1 species
CCGUGCCCAAGAGAUCGGGAUAACACCUAGGAAACAGAUGCUAAUACCGGAUAACAACAGAUGAUGCCUAUCAACUGUUUAAAAGAUGGUUCUGCUAUCACUCUUGGAUGGACCUGCGGUGCAUUAGCUAGUUGGUAGGGUAACGGCCUACCAAGGCGAUGAUGCAUAGCCGAGUUGAGAGACUGAUCGGCCACAUUGGGACUGAGACACGGCCCAAACUCCUACGGGAGGCAGCAGGC